CUUGCUUCUCUUGAGAGCGGCGGACGGGUGAGUAAUGCCUAGGAAUCUGCCUGGUAGUGGGGGAUAACGUCCGGAAACGGACGCUAAUACCGCAUACGUCCUACGGGAGAAAGCAGGGGACCUUCGGGCCUUGCGCUAUCAGAUGAGCCUAGGUCGGAUUAGCUAGUUGGUGGGGUAAUGGCUCACCAAGGCGACGAUCCGUAACUGGUCUGAGAGGAUGAUCAGUCACACUGGAACUGAGACACGGUCCAGACUCCUACGGGAGGCAGCAGUGGGGAAUAUUGGACAAUGGGCGAAAGCCUGAUCCAGCCAUGCCGCGUGUGUGAAGAAGGUCUUCGGAUUGUAAAGCACUUUAAGUUGGGAGGAAGGGCAGUAAAUUAAUACUUUGCUGUUUUGACGUUACCGACAGAAUAAGCACCGGCUAACUCUGUGCCAGCAGCCGCGGUAAUACAGAGGGUGCAAGCGUUAAUCGGAAUUACUGGGCGUAAAGCGCGCGUAGGUGGUUCGUUAAGUUGGAUGUGAAAUCCCCGGGCUCAACCUGGGAACUGCAUUCAAAACUGACGAGCUAGAGUAUGGUA
rnacentral:rRNA from 1 species